CACCGGGUCGUUACAAAUUAGGACUGAAACGCCCCAACACCUGCUGCCCUGAUUAGCCUACCUGUGAUAAGCCAUGUCUGCAGCACUCAUUCCCAGAUUGACACGAAAUCACCAUGGUUGAUUGGUUGCAGCAGUGCUGCACUCUCUCCAAAUUUCAGAAUGUCUCGCCCAUUUUGAAAGCAGUUUUCAGAAAUGUGAAGUGGGUGGAGUUAUGGGGUGAAGUGACUCUUUAAAUUGUCUUAAAUUCAGUUUGGAUGGGUCUUUUUUUUUAUAUAGCCAUGUCACCAUGAAAAUUCAGGCAAUCUGCUCUGCCAGGUCGAAUAUUUUCGGUAUGUGCUGUGUUGUCUAUGGAGACUGGACUGCUGGUUUUGGAAAACAAUUUCAAGAAACUGAAACCAAUCGAUAACGUUGGUAAAGGAAAGCUCUGCUUCAACCCGUUGGAAGGCUACAAGGUAAACCAUCACCAGUCAUCAGCAAUCCUUGUGCCUGGCCCUCGUCUGAAGUCCCAUUCCUAUGACUGGCCUACCAUCGCCUGCUGUGGUUCCCUUGCCCGGAUUCCUGGCCCGCUCAUCAUAGUGACCCAUUACUUUCCUUAAGAAAAUUAGUAAUCCCUAUGGAUAAAUGAUUUCCUACACUGUACUAUUUGAACUUUCUGAACUAAAAAUGACCUUGCUGUUCUGUAACUGACCCUAGGCAGGUGGGUUUGGCCCUUGAGUCGUGAAUCUCUCUGAGGUUUCUUCCUAUAUGUAUCUCCAAUUCUAGGGAGUUUUCCUCGCCGCUGUUACUCAUGGUCUCUCUCUGAAUGUUUAACACUCUUUAAAGGAACACUUCACUGUUUUUUCAUAUUAAACUACGUUAUUCGCUGAUUGAUUUUUGGCAGGGUGUUAGGUAUAGGCCU